UACGUAGGGGGCGAGCGUUGUCCGGAAUUAUUGGGCGUAAAGGGUUCGCAGGCGGUCUGAUAAGUCAGAUGUGAAAGGCUAUGGCUUAACCAUAGUAAGCAUUUGAAACUGUCAGACUUGAGUUAAGGAGAGGAAAGUGGAAUUCCUAGUGUAGCGGUGAAAUGCGUAGAUAUUAGGAGGAAUACCAGUGGCGAAGGCGACUUUCUGGACUUAAACUGACGCUGAGGAAC
rnacentral:rRNA from 1 species